ensembl:lncRNA
CAGACAGGCGCCGCUCCAGUGACAGCACUGAGGGGCCAUGUUGAGAGAUGAAUGUGGACAAAAGAGCCUUGAAAUGCAGGGAGUUCAACGCGGGAUUCACAAAGCGAUUUCUGUUGAAAGAUGGAUCAGUAUCCUGUUUAUUUGGACCAGCUGCUCCACUGAAUCACAACCCUUCUCCUCUUAUCUUCUUCCCUCAUCCUUUGCCCAUGUGACCACGCCUGCUCUGAGAGCGACUGCAGCCUCACUGCCAGAGGAUUCCACCAGAAUAUGAAUGAGAAACCAGAGAGAACCAGGGCAGCAGAAUAGGAGGACAGUGCAGAAACAAACACACUUACAGAUAUUGAUGUGUCACAUUGAUUCCAUGUUUCCAUGACAAAUACUGGGGUUGAAAUCAGGAAUAAUCCUUAUUUUAAACAGAGAUGCUUCAACAGCCUAAUAGCCUGUGUAUUUGAUGGUGUUGUGCAUUCUAUUUCCACGAUAGUUUAAUAUUGACCAUCUGAUCAAUAAUAAAGAUUGCAUUAAUAUGGCGAGUCCUAUCUGAAAUUGAUAUAUGCACAGAAAGUGACCUCAGAUAUCUAUUAAAAAUAUUCAAAGCCCAAAAAUGACAUGAUGAACAAGAAGUAUAUUGAUUUCUGAAGAGAGAAAUAAACCAUGUUUGUGCCUUAGAAGGGCCACAGUAUCCUCAAUUGAGCCACAUAGAGUUGAAAUACCACUGACAUAGUACAGCAGCCACAUAGGAGGUCGCAUCCGGUUUCUGGUUGCUCUAGGUUUGGCGUAUCACUCGCCUUUAGUGUAAACGGUAGUAAACCGUGUAUUAAAACAGUAAUUAACUUUAUACUAUAGUCACGAAGCGAUACUUUAUCUCAGCUCAGGUACACUCACAUGCGCAUGCACGCGUUAAACACACCCUUUAUUGCUGUCAUGGACUUUACGGUGACUUCAGUCACUUUUAUAAUGAGGUAAAUACAAUGUGACAAACUUUAAAACUAAUCCUCACAUAAAGUUUU